CCCACGGUGCGAAUUAUGUCGGUUUUUGUCUACAUGCAAUAGAACUGAACCGUGCGUAUUAUGUAAAAUGCGUUCUGAUCGUUACACUCUAUAUUAUAAUACAGGCAUUAUUGAAAAACGUUAUCGGCUAUAUCGACUGCGCGCAGCUUUUUUACUAUGGGUACUAAACGGUUUCUUUUACUUUUAUUUUUUAAUCCCGGUU